UACGUAGGGUGCAAGCGUUAAUCGGAAUUACUGGGCGUAAAGCGUGCGCAGGCGGUUUUGUAAGUCAGAUGUGAAAGCCCCGGGCUCAACCUGGGAAUUGCGAUGAAGACUGCAAGGCUUGAAUCUGGCAGAGGGGGGUAGAAUUCCACGUGUAGCAGUGAAAUGCGUAGAGAUGUGGAGGAACACCGAUGGCGAAGGCAGCCCCCUGGGUCAAGAUUGACGCUCAUGCACGAAAGCGUGGGGAGCAAACAGG
rnacentral:rRNA from 1 species